rnacentral:rRNA from 1 species
UGAGGAAUAUUGGUCAAUGGGCGGAAGCCUGAACCAGCCAUGCCGCGUGAAGGAAUAAGGCCCUAUGGGUCGUAAACUUCUUUUGUGGUGGAGCAAUAAGACGUACGUGUACGUCGAUGAGAUUACAUCAUGAAUAAGCAUCGGCUAACUCCGUGCCAGCAGCCGCGGUAAUACGGAGGAUGCAAGCGUUAUCCGGAUUUAUUGGGUUUAAAGGGUGCGUAGGCUGUUUGACAAGUCAGUGGUGAAAGCCCGGGGCUUAACUCCGGAAUUGCCGUUGAUACUGUUGAGCUGGAAUACGGAUGCCGUGGGAGGAAUGAGUAGUGUAGCGGUGAAAUGCAUAGAUAUUACUCAGAACACCGAUUGCGAAGGCAUCUCACGAAUCCGUCAUUGACGCUGAGGCACGAAAGCGUGGGGAUCAAACAGG